rnacentral:rRNA from 1 species
UGGAAACAGCGGUUAGGAGCUUACACCCACCCGUGUUUACAUACUAUUGUUGCUUUGGCGGGCCGUGGCCUCCACUGCGGGCUCUGCUCGUGUGUGCCCGCCAGAGGACCAAACUCUGAAUGUUAGUGAUGUCUGAGUACUAUCUAAUAGUUAAAACUUUCAACAACGGAUCUCUUGGUUCUGGCAUCGAUGAAGAACGCAGCGAAAUGCGAUAAGUAAUGUGAAUUGCAGAAUUCAGUGAAUCAUCGAAUCUUUGAACGCACAUUGCGCCCUGUGGUAUUCCGCAGGGCAUGCCUGUUCGAGCGUCAUUUAACCACUCACGCCUAGCGUGGUAUUGGGGCACGCGGUCUCCGCGGCCCUCAAAAUUAGUGGCGGUGCCGGUGGGCUCUAAGCGUAGUACAUACUCCCGCUAUAGAGUUCCCCCCGGUGGCUCGCCAGAACCCCCAAUUUUUACAGGUUGACCUCGGAUCAGGUAAGGAUACCCGCUGAACUUAAGCA